rnacentral:rRNA from 1 species
UACAGAGGGGGCAAGCGUUGUUCGGAAUUACUGGGCGUAAAGGGCGCGUUAGGCGGCCUUCUAAGUCGAAACGUGAAAUCCCCGGGCUCAACCCGGGAACUGCGUCCGAUACUGGAAGGCUUGAAUCCGGGAGAGGGAUGUGGAAUUCCGAGGGUGUAGCGGUGAAAUGCGUAGAGUAUCCGAAGGAACACCGGUGGCGAAAGCGGCGC